GACGAACGCUGGCGGCAUGCCUAAUACAUGCAAGUCGAGCGAACAGAUGAAGUGCUUGCACUUCUGACGUUAGCGGCGAACGGGUGAGUAACACGUAAGGAAUCUACCUAUAAGCGGGGGAUAACAUUCGGAAACGGGUGCUAAUACCGCAUAAUAUCUUCUUCCGCAUGGAAGGAGAUUGAAAGGCGGCUCUGCUGUCACUUAUAGAUGACCUUGCGGUGCAUUAGUUGGUGGGGUAACGGCCUACCAAGACGAUGAUGCAUAGCCGACAUGAGAGGGUGAUCGGCCACAUUGGGACUGAGACACGGCCCAAACUCCUACGGGAGGCAGCAGUAGGGAAUCUUCCGCAAUGGGCGAAAGCCUGACGGAGCAAUGCCGCGUGAGUGAAGAAGGCCUUCGGGUCGUAAAACUCUGUUAUAAGAGAAGAACAAAUUGUAGAGUAACUGCUACAGUCUUGACGGUAUCUUAUCAGAAAGCCACGGCUAACUACGUGCCAGCCGCCGCAGUAA
rnacentral:rRNA from 1 species